rnacentral:rRNA from 1 species
CCUACGGGGGGCUGCAGUGAGGAAUAUUGGUCAAUGGGCGGGAGCCUGAACCAGCCAAGCCGCGUGAGGGAAGAAGGUACAGCGUAUCGUAAACCUCUUUUGUCAGGGAACAAAGGCGGGGACUAGUCCCCGGAUGAGGGUACCUGAAGAAAAAGCAUCGGCUAACUCCGUGCCAGCAGCCGCGGUAAUACGGAGGAUCCGAGCGUUAUCCGGAUUUAUUGGGUUUAAAGGGAGCGUAGGUGGAUUGUUAAGUCAGUUGUGAAAGUUUGCGGCUCAACCGUAGAAUUGCAGUUGAAACUGGUAGUCUUGAGUACAGUAGAGGUGGGCGGAAUGCGUGGUGUAGCGGUGAAAUGCUUAGAUAUCACGAAGAACACCGAUUGCGAAGGCAGUUGACUGGACUGCAACUGACACUGAGGCUCGAAAGUGUGGGUAUCAAACAGGAUUAGAUACCCUAGUAGUC